UACGUAGGGAGCAAGCGUUGUCCGGAAUCAUUGGGCGUAAAGCGCGCGUAGGUGGCCAUGUAAGUCCGCUGUGAAAGUCAAAGGCUCAACCUUUGAAAGCCGGUGGAUACCGCAUGGCUAGAGUACGGAAGAGGCGAGUGGAAUUCCUGGUGUAGCGGUGGAAUGCGCAGAUAUCAGGAGGAACACCAAUAGCGAAGGCAGCUCGCUGGGACGUCACUGACACUGAGGCGCGAAAGCGUGGGGAGCGAACAGG
rnacentral:rRNA from 1 species